CAGGAUGGAUGAAGGGCAUUAGGAAGACGUCCAUGUCUUGACAGUGCCAAGGUCUGAUCAAUUUAUUCCCAUUCAGCUCAAGCAACAUCUUUCACUCAAGAUGUCUGUUGCAUUGGGAUUUUUCUCCUGCUUGAUGAGCGCUUUGACGGCUUCGUAGUGGAGGUUUGGAGUCAACUGGCGGGCAAACGCGUCAGGGAUCUUCAACACACUUAUAGACUUGGUGUCUGCUACAAGACUAUCAACGCCACAUGACUGGGCAAAGGGAAUGGGAGGACUCAGUAAGUGCUUUGUGGAGAUACUGUGUUAAUAGGUUUUACAUGCAAGUGUUUUGACUUCAGGAGGGUAUAAAUCAAUAAAGUGGUCAUCUUAACCGAUAUGUAGAAAGGUGCAAAUGAGAUAGACUUGCCUUCACUUGUGUUCCUACCUGUAUUUACAUAACAUUUACAUCCAUGCUUGUUAUCAUAUGCUGAUAAAUGCUGACAAUUUGCACA